UGCGUGACAGAAUUCAUAAGAAAAAGUAUGAUAUAACAAUGUCUGAGAUUUCUGUCACGUACAG
rnacentral:pre_miRNA from 1 species